rnacentral:rRNA from 1 species
UACGUAGGGGGCAAGCGUUGUCCGGAUUUAUUGGGCGUAAAGCGCACGUAGGCGGCUUGGCAAGUCGGGUGUGAAAUCCCUCGGCUCAACCAAGGAAGUGCAUCCGAAACUGCUGAGCUUGAGUACGAAAGAGGAUCGCGGAAUUCCCGGUGUAGAGGUGAAAUUCGUAGAUAUCGGGAGGAACACCAGUGGCGAAGGCGGCGAUCUGGGUCGAUACUGACGCUGAGGUGCGAAAGCGUGGGGAGCAAACAGG